GGAGGGGUGCCGGAGCGGUUGAACGGGGCGGUCUCGAAAACCGUUGACCCUUUACCGGGUCCGUGGGUUCGAAUCCCACCCCCUCCG
rnacentral:tRNA from 1 species